CCCUGCCCUUUGUACACACCGCCCGUCGCUCCUACCGAUUGGGUGUGCUGGUGAAGUGUUUGGACUGGUGUCAGUGGGGGGCAACCUCUGUUGGUGUUGAGAAGAACAUUAAACCCUCCCACCGAGAG
rnacentral:rRNA from 1 species